rnacentral:rRNA from 1 species
AGAGUUUGAUCCUGGCUCAGGAUGAACGCUAGCGGCAGGCCUAACACAUGCAAGUCGAGCGGUAGGGGACUUCGGUCCCUGAGAGCGGCGCACGGGUGCGUAACGCGUAUGCAACCUACCCUUUACAGGGGAAUAGCCCGUCGAAAGGCGGAUUAAUGCCCCAUGGCUCCUUUGAGAGGCAUCUCUUGGAGGGUAAAGAUUUAUCGGUAAAGGAUGGGCAUGCGUGCCAUUAGCUUGAUGGUGGGGUAACGGCCCACCAUGGCGACGAUGGCUAGGGGUUCUGAGAGGAAGGCCCCCCACACUGGGACUGAGACACGGCCCAGACUCCUACGGGAGGCAGCAGUGAGGAAUAUUGGUCAAUGGGCGCAAGCCUGAACCAGCCAUGCCGCGUGCGGGAAGAAGGCGCUACGCGUCGUAAACCGCUUUUGUCCGGGGGUAACCGCGGGGACGUGUCCCCGCCUGCAAGUACCGGACGAAUAAGGGUCGGCUAACUCCGUGCCAGCAGCCGCGGUAAUACGGAGGACCCGAGCGUUAUCCGGAUUCAUUGGGUUUAAAGGGUGCGUAGGCGGCCCGGUAAGUCAGCGGUGAAAGGCUCCUGCUCCACAGGAGAGCUGCCGUUGAUACUGCUGGGCUAGAAUCUUAGCGAGGCGGGCGGAAUGCGCGGUGUAGCGGUGAAAUGCAUAGAUAUCGCGCAGAACGCCGAUUGGGGAGCCAGCUCGCCAGCUGAGUAUUGACGCUGAGGCACGAAAGCGUGGGGAUCGAACAGGAUUAGAUACCCUGGUAGUCCACGCCGUAAACGAUGAUGGCUCGCUCUUGGUUCGCAAGGAUCAGGGGCUUAGCGAAAGCGUUAAGCCAUCCACCUGGGGAGUACGCCGGCAACGGUGAAACUCAAAGGAAUUGACGG